rnacentral:rRNA from 1 species
UGAAGCGGCAACAGCUCAAAUUUGAAAUCUGGUCCCCAGGGCCCGAGUUGUAAUUUGUAGAGGAUGCUUUUGGCAAGGUGCCUUCCGAGUUCCCUGGAACGGGACGCCAUAGAGGGUGAGAGCCCCGUCUGGUCGGAUACCGCGCCUCUGUAAAGCUCCUUCGACGAGUCGAGUAGUUUGGGAAUGCUGCUCAAAAUGGGAGGUAUAUGUCUUCUAAAGCUAAAUAUUGGCCAGAGACCGAUAGCGCACAAGUAGAGUGAUCGAAAGAUGAAAAGCACUUUGAAAAGAGGGUUAAAAAGUACGUGAAAUUGUUGAAAGGGAAGCGCCUAUGACCAGACUUGGGCCCGGUGAAUCAUCCAGCGUUCUCGCUGGUGCACUUUGCCGGGCACAGGCCAGCAUCAGUUUGGCGCGGGGGAUAAAGGCUUUGGGAAUGUGGCUCCCUCGGGAGUGUUAUAGCCCAUUGUGUAAUACCCUGCGCCGGACUGAGGUACGCGCAUUUGCAAGGAUGCUGGCGUAAUGGUCAUCAGCGACCCGUCUUGAAACACGGACCAAGGAGUCGUCUUCGUAUGCGAGUGUUCGGGUGUCAAACCCCUACGCGUAAUGAAAGUGAACGCAGGUGAGAGCUUCGGCGCAUCAUCGACCGAUCCUGAUGUUCUCGGAUGGAUUUGAGUAAGAGCAUACGGGGCCGGACCCGAAAGAAGGUGAACUAUGCCUGUAUAGGGUGAAGCCAGAGGAAACUCUGGUGGAGGCUCGCAGCGGUUCUGACGUGCGAAUCGAUCGUCAAAUAUGGGCAUGGGGGCGAAAGACUAAUCGAACCUUCUAGUAGCUGGUUUCCGCCGAAGUUUCCCUCAGGAUAGCAGUGUUGAACUCAGUUUUAUGAGGUAAAGCGAAUGAUUAGGGACUCGGGGGCGCUAUAUUGCCUUCAUCCAUUCUCAAACUUUAAAUAUGUAAGAAGCUCUUGUUACUUAAUUGAACGUGAGCAUCGAAUGUAUCAACACUAGUGGGCCAUUUUUGGUAAGCAGAACUGGCGAUGCGGGAUGAACCGAACGCGAGGUUAAGGUGCCGGAGUGGACGCUCAUCAGACACCACAAAAGGUGUUAGUACAUCUUGACAGCAGGACGGUGGCCAUGGAAGUCGGAAUCCGCUAAGGACUGUGUAACAACUCACCUGCCGAAUGUACUAGCCCUGAAAAUGGAUGGCGCUCAAGCGUCCCACCCAUACCUCGCCCUCAGGGUAGAAACGAAGCCCUGAGGAGUAGGCGGACGUGGAGGUCAGUGACGAAGCC